rnacentral:rRNA from 1 species
CCUACGGGAGGCAGCAGUGAGGAAUAUUGGUCAAUGGGCGGAAGCCUGAACCAGCCAAGUAGCGUGCGGGAUGAAGGCCCUACGGGUCGUAAACCGCUUUUGCACGGGGAUAACACCCUCCACUUGUGGAGGUCUGCAGGUACCGUGCGAAUAAGGGCCGGCUAAUUCCGUGCCAGCAGCCGCGGUAAUACGGAAGGCCCGAGCGUUAUCCGGAUUCAUUGGGCUUAAAGGGAGCGUAGGCGGGCGUUCAAGUCAGCUGUAAAAUCGCGCGGCUCAACCGCGCCCCGCAGUUGAAACUGGACGCCUUGAGUUCACAACAGGCAGGCGGAAUUCGUGGUGUAGCGGUGAAAUGCAUAGAUAUCACGAGGAACCCCGAUUGCGAAAGCGGCUCUCUGGUCUGUAACUGACGCUGAGGUUCGAAAGCGUGGGUAGCAAACAGGAUUAGAUACCCGGGUAGUC